CUCCGGGGCGCUCUGCAGCUUCAUGCAAUGGCUUCUGUCCCUCGGGUUAGUUCAGGUUCCUUAAGGCCCAAUGCAGCAAUGUGUAGUGAGUGCCCUCGCUAACCUCUUGAGAGUAGGAGGCUCAGCAGACUCCUGUGGGAUCAAGCUCUUUGUAUUGUUUCUCUUCUGGCUUUAGCAAUUAAAUGAUCUUUGAAAUUAAUCAUGAAAAGCUGUUGCUGUGACGGCACAGUCAAAUCCAGCCAUCGAGCAGGUACGUUCUCUGCAUGCUUCCUCACCCAGCUCGGCAUGUGCCUCAUCAUCCUUGCCUGCAACACCUCUUAGGGUUCCGAUCCUCGGGCUCCUCUGAGCAAUUGUGCCACACUGUGUGUUGUGGUUUGAAGUGGCCGCAUCUACUAAGGUACCACUUAGCAAUCACAGUUUGUGACCAAAGUCUGAGUUGUACUUGGAUCCUUCCUCUGCACAGGAGCAUCGCACACAAAAGCACUCCUGCGAGGUAAGUUUUAAAGCAAAAUUCCACUCCACCCUGCUCUUUCAUUCUCUCUUUCACGGAUUAUCUGUUCUGCUUAUUAGAGUGGCAGCUUUAGAGGUGAAGUCGUCUGGAUACAGGCCAGGCGCUAACCCUGCACUUGCCAUUCAGAAUCAACUUUUACAUAACCCUAGUGGUGUCCGCAAAUGAUGGACAGGAAAAUCGAGGUGGUUUCUGCAACUGUGUUUGCAAAGAGUUUGAAAGUGUAUAUAGUGAUGUUCUGCAGCCAGAGACGCUAACGUCCCGCUGUACAGUACUACAAUAGAAGUGUGAGUUUCUCAGUGGCAUGAUAACCGCAAAGCCUAGUUUUAACCAUUUAAAUGCUUAUUCUUCUAAACAAGCUUGUCUUUAAAAAAAAAAAGAAAAAAAGAAAUAAAACUGCAGUUUGUCAUUGAAAAUGACAACGCCUGCAAUGUAAGACUUUUCUCAUGUGCUCUCAAUUGUACCUUCAAGCAAUAAAUUACCAGAUACAUAUAUUUAUAAAGGUACUGAUAGGGAAGUAGCAUAAUUUAGUUCUAGUUUAAAGGGUACUCCCUGAUUUACCUUCUCAAAUAUGCUGGAAACCCCACCUUCAGCGUUAGCCCUUUUUAAGGAAAUAGUGGUGAAGUGUGAAACACCAGUUCACAUAUUCCCCCAGUGGAGGGAAGAAGAUGCUCCAGAGGCUUUAUGCUGUCCCUGAUCAUAGCUGGAGCUUCUUCUUGUUCUACGUAGAUUUCAGAAAUUAAAUAUUUUUAUUCUUACUUGUUAUGUGUUUGCAUGUAUUGCCCAGAUAUACAGGAUGCACUUUGAGGGGGAUGAUGUGGAUGUUUGUUUUCAUAAGUUACAAUGAUUUUACUGGCUUGUAAAUGUCACUACAGCUCAUGAAAAUAAAAUGUGUGCAGCUCCUAUCGGGCAUGAAUUGCAUUUAUUGUGAACGAAUGGAGUAGCUCUUCAUUUUAAGAAUAAACUUUCAUUUUGCAGUAAUUUUACAAUACUUCCUGUGUAUAAAUACAGGAUGAUUGGUAGGGUUAUGGCCUAGUUUUUCAGGAUUUGUAUACAGCUGUCAGUGUCUGGUGCUGAGUGUCUUCCAUCUCAAGUAAUGCCAAUGAGAGUUUAGUGCCUAACUCCUUAGACCUUUUGAAAGUUCCCACCAUACCUCUUGGCUUACAUGCAAUGUUGAUGCAGUGCUCAUGACUGAAGACAAGUAUAUUACUGAUGACAUGGCUAUGACAGGUAUACUUGUCGGCCAGGAGAGUAUUCUUGCACAAAUUCAUUGUGUACAUGUCACUCCCACUGUAUGAAAUUACAUCUAAGACACCAACUAGCUGAGUACAUUUCUUUUCUCAGAGCUUUACAAGUGAAGGAGGAGGCCUGGGCACUCAUUCAUAUCUGUGAUUUAAGGCACUUUUGCUGACUUAUAGAUCACUGACAAAAAAAAUGUAUUCUUAGGCUAAUUGUUUGUUCUUUUUAUAUAGUGGUUAUCAUUAAAAAGUCAACAUUUGCCAGCAUUUGCCAUCAGUUACCACAGCGCACAUUCUGAGAAAAUCACUGUUCUUCCCCUAUACUUACAAUAUGAUGGAUCUCUGGUAACAUCUAGCAAAUGUUACCUUUUUGUUGUCUUCUGCUGUAUUUGCAUAUACAGGAAAAUGCAGAGUAUAUACAUAGAUAUGCAGUAUAACAUAUAUCACAUCAAAGUUAUAUUCUGUAUGUAGUUUUAUCAGUGUUUUAUUAGUUUGGUGAUAGCAAUUCUCACAUCUAGCUAUAUUUGUUAUAAAUGCACAUGCCUGCUAAUAAAAGCUAGCUGCACAGCUUAAAACACAGAAGUUGAAUUGAAAUAGACUUUAUAUGUGUGUAUUUACAGUAUUUGAAGAUAGACAUUUUAGUUUCUUAAAGUUUCCUCCUUUGAAAAGUUUGUUAGUGCAAGUUUGAGACUUCCUGUUAGCUUAGUGCUCAUGUUAAUUAUGUCUCUGUGUAAUCUGUGCUCUAAAGUAUUCCACACCAACUGAUGUUUCUACUGGCAGUUGAAAAAGUACCAUGGGAACAAUAGGUUGUUAGUGUCACUGGGGAGCUUUAACCACAAACAAGUCAUGAUGAGCUCAGGUCCAGUUAAAAUUAAGUCUUCAUCUUCAGUUUAACCAACUUCUAAAGCAAAAGAAAAUAAUGCUGAUUUAAAGUAAGUCUCUGAGCUUGAUCUAGCCACUAGCUAUCGUCUAGUCUCACUUAACUCUCAUGCUUUCAUGCAAUGGAUUUGACCCUUAUCUAAGUAAAACAAGUGCCAUGUGCAUUUAGGAUGCUCUGUAAAUGAUUAUUAAUAAUAAUGCAGUCUCAUGUAUCCGAAAGCUAUUAAAACAUCAUGCACUGGCAAAAUUACAUAAGGAUGCUAAUGUUUUAAAGGAAUCCAGCUUAAAAUAUUAUAAACCCAUCAAUCUCUUCUCGCACACAUUCCGCUUAAAAGUUUAUCAUAAUUCAGUGGUGUCAUGAAAACUACAGGUCCCAUCAUGCAGUUCUCCUUCCUGGUCUGAGAGGCCAGUCUGGAUAGGAGCUGCAACUGAUUUCUGUUUAAUGCAAAUUUGAGGCAGGCCUUUGGUUCUUGGCAAGACACCAGUGAAGUCCUUGGUUGAGCAAAGUUUGGGUGCCCCUGGCAAAGAUUCUAAGCAUCACAGCUGUUCCUAGCUAUUCUGAAUGCUAAGUGAAGCAUAAGAAGCAGGCCAAACCCCUUGCACUGGCAUGUUCACCUCUGUUAGACAGCCGUAGGGUUUUAAAAAUAAAGAAAUGGAGCAUGCUUUCUGGCCAAAAAUAAAUGAAAUGACCUUGUGUUUCUCAUCUAGCUGCUCUGGUUACAGUAACUCUUGGUACUUGGCUCAUGCCGUGCUAUGUUUGUGAACAUCAUUAGGCUCUGCAGUGAGAAGGUGUGUCCAAAGCCCUUCCUAGGCACAUAAUCGCUGACAGAGAAUUAAAGCCCGUGGCUGUCAGUAGCAUCUAAGCUUGUGUUUCGAAUAAAGUCCACUUGAGCUCAUCUGCUAAAAGUCCAGCAGAGCAAGACUGAGUUCCUAGAUGGGAGUGUAGGGGAAGGCUGCCCUCUGUAGGCAGGGUGGGUAGUUCUUCAUAUCAACUCUGAGCCAGCUGUUACAGCUGGCACCAACAGAGCCCAUGACACAUAAAUGGGCUAGAGUGGCAGCCAGCCGAAUGCCUUCCACAGCCUCCCUUUGCUGAAUCCCAUUGCAGCUGUAGGACCUCCUGAGGUAGCAGUUUGCUGGUCCAGUGACCAACACCACAUUUCUUAAAAGAAGCCAAAAUGUCUGUCAUGUCUCCAUCCAGCUCCCACAAGCUACCUGGAGCUUUUUCCUUCCCAGUGUUUGCAUCUUUGUAUGCUGUGUUAAUCUAGCUAGUGUAAUGGAGAGGCAUCUCACUAAUUUACUAGCUGAAACGUGGAUCAGUCUCUCUUUAGAGAGAGAGUUAGGUAACUACUUCUCUAGCCAAAGAUCAUGUUACGUAUGGAUAUACAUUCCCCUGGGCAUCUCCCUUUGGAAGUAGAGUCGGUCAUUCACUUAGGUUACGGAUUGCGGGCAAAAUGACAUCUCAAGUGCAGACCAAACAGUUGUAUCUUGGAGGAAAUUUUUUAUUUUUUUUUUGCCAGUUGCACUCUGAAUUCGCUAUACGCUUCUAAAGCCACAUGACCCAGAACAACAAAACCCACAUGCCAUCAGUGAAGGUAUUCUGAAGCAAAGUAAGGAUGACGAUCUGUGUCUUGGGAGGACAAUGUUGUGUUUCCUUGCUUACGGCAUCCAGAUACUAUUUUGCUCUGUGCAUUAGAAAUGCAAAGUGUUGGUCAGGUUUGAUUUGUCCAUCCUGCAUAACCAUUUGCAUGGUACCCCAGAGAUGCUCUCUGGUACUUGUUUGGACUCCUGAAUAAUGCUAGCCGGGGAUGGCAUUUGAGAAUUGCCUUCUUACGGUUUAAUCAGCAGUUACAAUUGCCUUUAUUUUAUAGGGAGGAAUAGAUGUUGGUGCCAUCAUAAGUGUAAAGCAUCGAAAUCCAUUACAGUAAUGGCAGCAGGAAGCAUGACUAUGUUCGAGAUGUCGCUUUCACCAUAAAACAUGUUGACUGUGGCGGUAACUCUUCAUAGCCAGACAGAGCAUACAGUGUGUCCCUUUCGGCAUUAGCUGCAACGGGACAUUUUUGGUGUAUUAAUAUUUACCAGGGUGCUGUUCAGCAGCAUAUGAGCGCCCUUCCUUUUUGGCCCACACACAUCACAGAUGACUUAUUGUCAACCACUCCAUCAAACUGACGCUGCAGUCAUGUGUCUUGUGGUGUCUUGGGAGACAUUGUCCUAGCUAAAUAUGCCAAGUGACAGGACUUGGAGCACUUCCUUGGGAGACUACGUCACAAUAUUUCAGCUAGAUUGGGUAUAAUGAGGGCAGCAUUUUUACUACAAAUAAAGGUGGUGUCAUUUUUUUUUUGAAGUAUCACAUUCCACGUUGUUGUUUUUGUUCAGCCACAAUGCACAGCUGCUGCUGGUGUGCUUCUACCAAUACUAAGCACUUAGCAUUUCUUCAUAAUAUUAUUUCUCUGGUGAAACCCUUAGGAUGUCAGACUGUAAAUAAAUACCCGUUUGUAUAAAACAUUUUUAAAACAAGAGAUCUGAAAGGAGCACAUUCAUUGUUAAGCUCCACAAACAAAAUCGACUCCUCUUUUCUCUGCCCAAUGUCCUGUUACAACUUAAGAAACUUUCCAAAUCAUUAACUACAAAUGAAAACAAAAUAUGUUGCAUAGACAUGACUCCUCUCCGCUCCAUGAUGCGUAUGUGGCAUCCUGGCUGGAUCCAGUGAUGGGAGGGAUACUGGGUGCGCAGCCAGUAUAUGUGGAGUGGAUGAGAUAUAUAGGGGUAUGUUGCCCUACAGGCUGAGGUUUCUGAUUUACCCCUGGAGAACAAGUAAGAUCUGAUGGAAUUUUCCUUCUGGUUGGGAAGGAUGAGUAGGGACUUUUGGAGCCUCUGGCUCAUCAUAAGUGGGGAAUUCUGGGCUGUGUGUGGAGAGUAAGACGUGAUUAUGUACUUGCCCACCUGCCUUGAACGAUUCCAAGCCUUGAUAUUGAUGUGGAGCCUUUUCCAAAAGGACUCUUGUUGAAAUGUGACCCUAUCUGCAGGUUGUUGAUACAGCCAAUGUGUUGUGUUCAGCUGAUUGUUUUAUUCCUCCCCCCUUUGAAUUCUGGGAAAUGGAGGAGGUUGUCACGGCUUCGUUGUACAUUCCCUUUAGGGUCCUAACCAUGGUUGGUUCAGUCGCUCCCCCCUUCAUAUUUGUGUCAAGAAGGCUGGCAGUUCUCGUGGUCUAUUGCAUACUGUUGUCCAGGUGGCAUCUGUCCUCUUGAACUGUCUGAGGGGAGUUUGCUUGCUGUGCUACUGCUUGUUUCCCCUAGCAUCAGUCAAGAUACAAAAUGUCAGUGAAUGCUCUUUUGAAAAACAAAGCUUGGGAAUUUAGCUUCUUGCCGAUCAAAUGUGAUCAGCGUUGAUGCAGUUUUUCUACGUAUAUGAAUUUCUCCAAUCAAAUUUCUCAACUAAGAUCAUGGAGACUUUUCUCUAAUAUUGUGUUGCCUUGAUUCUUUGCACUUAAAUACGCCUGUUUUACCUUUCACAGAAUUGCAUGGGCAACGAUGAUUUUAUGUACUGGAACACUUAAGGCAAGCUGUGGGUCUACUCAUGUUCCCAUCAAAAUCAAAGGCAAAAUUCUCAUUGACUUCAGUGUGAACAGGCUCAAACCACGUAUACUUAAUAUGUUGAGUUCACCUUUCUUUCAUACAUAACUUGCUCAUUCUUAGCUAUUGCUGGCUUCUGCUCUGCAGAUAUUUUGAGCAUGUGUGCGAAGGUGGUUUCAGGAGUGUGUCCUGGUCCAUGCAGCUCUUGGGCAUGGGUCAGGUUAAAAAAAAAAAAAAAAAAAAAAAAAAAAAAGACCUGAUUAAGCUAAUUCUCAUAACUGUGGUCAUUAGAAAACUUGAUGAGACUAUGUGGUCAGAGCAGUGUGGGGGAUAUUGUUGGCACAAUAUACUCAGUAAUCUGAGUGCUAUGAAUUUGGAGAUGUCCUUAGAAUGUUGCAGUAGUGUAGUGGGUUAGCUUUUAAAGAUUGUUUUUCAAUGAGCAGAGGAGAAAGAAUGGUCUUGGGUUGAUAGCACUGGACUGGGACUCUGGAGAUUGGUGUUCAGUUCCUUACUCUGCCAGUGGAACCUUGGGCAAGUCAUUUCACCUCUCAGUGCUCCAGGUUCCCAUCUAUAAAGUGAGGAUGAUAGUACCUUACUGCCUCACAGGCGUGCUGUGUGAAUAGUCAUUAUUGCGGAUAAGGUACUCAGAUGCCUAUUUGAACCCAGUUAUGUGCCUUAUGCUGUCCGAGUCAACAAAAUUUAGGCCUGGAUAGACCCAGAUCCAAACUUGCCCAAACUUUGGAGUGUUUGGAUCCAAUGCUCUGGUUGUAGAGAUUGGCCUGAGAUGCCAAGUUUGGCUCAUAACAUCGUCAAAGACCCAUACAAGGGGGCUUGGAACCAGGUUCCAGAUUGGACCCAUAUCUGCUGAAAACUUAAUAGAUGUUGCUCAGGCUAUUGACAGAAAAGAAGCAAUAGAUGGAACCUACAGACAUCCACUCUGUGUGCUUGUAGCUAGACCUCUCUCUCAGGAGCUGUUGGCCUCACUGCCCAGUGUAUUCUUCACUGGCAAAGGGAGAAUGGGGUCCUCGUGGCUCAUUUGUCUUAACUCCUUUUACCUAUUUGGUGCUAGCUGUCACUGCUACGAUAAUGUCACCUGUUGGUCUUGACAACUAUAUAUAUUGGAUGUAUAUUUUUUCUGGCCAACCUGAUACAUUUCUCUGAAUAUGUUGCCCUGUUAGCUUACCCAGGGUUGCUGGAGAUUUUGCAUGAGGCAGAAGCCCCCAACCCUGACUCAGGGAUUCCAAGGACAGUCAUUGGGCUUUUGUCUACACCAGGUUUUCCAACCAUUAAAUUUUCCAUUCUUUUUGUGUGCUUGGUUACAAAUUAACUGCCAUGUCCCUCAAAUACAUCAGUAAAGAGCUGUUGAAAGAUUUUAUGUUAUUCACCUCUUGCAGACUGUUCUCUGGGCUCCCCUAAGAUGCUGCUGCACAUAAGUCAAUGGAAGUUGCACAUGAAGAUGUGAGGGCACAGUUUUAAUCCUUGAGACUCCACCCCUUAGAGAAUCCAAGGGAUCUCACCCGCUUAUUUUUUACGGGGGGGAAUUAAAAUGAAUGAAACAGAAUCAAAGAGAAGGCAUCAUUUCAGGCUGUCUUGUGAAAAAUGGAAAGGCGGUUACUUCACUUAGAAAACUUUUUUUUACAGCAACUUGAUUUUUUCCUAAGAAUGGUUAGUAGAUUGCAUUGACCUCCACCACACUAAUGUAAUAGCUGCUGUCUUGCUAGCGCUAAAGACCUACAUCUUUUGCACACCCUCCCUUUUCACCAAACUCCCAAACAAGACAUUUCUCUGUGCCUUGCUGGACUCUGGAGAAUCGCCCUGUUUUAACCAGUGGUGUCCCUUCCCCUUAAAGCUCUGAAUUGAGACCAAGGUCCUUGAGCCAAAAAAGGAGCCCAUCAGCCUAGUUGAAGGGUUUAUUGGGGGUUGUAGCCUGCAUUUCACCCACGGCCACUCACUCUUGUCCUUAGAUUGGUCACUGCAGUGUGGAGAACUCCAGAAGGCUUCCGUAAUCUACUUCUAAAAAUGUUCCAAACUAGGAUUCCAGAAGAUUUAUUUUUAGUGGCUGGUCCAUCUGCAUGGAACACCAUUGCCUAUCCUAUCAAUAAUGUGUUCUAGAGCCUCGGUCACCUAGAAUACUCCGGUCCUACAAAGCUUCAUAGAUUGAUUAUUUUCCCAAUAGACCCACAAACCUAAUUAGCUGAAAAAUAUUCUUGAAAUUUAAAGAUUUGAUCAUGAUAUUUCAGGAAAGACAGGGAUCUGAGCUUUAGCUUCAUUCAGGCAUGUUAUAUACAUUUUAGACCCUACUCCCUCUCUAAUGCGCACACAGCUGAAAGCUAAAAUUCAGACUAGUUUCAAGGAUGGCUGCUCUCUAACCUUACGGAGUGUUUGCCACUGUCAAAAGUAAUCGGAAUUCAACAUAAUGCCCAGCAUCAGAUUGACAAAAAUGCAAAAUAAAAUGAAAUUCUUCUAACAGUCCAAAGGCUUUCUAUUUCUAGAAGAGACUUCCUUUUAUUAAUCUCUUUCUCUCCCUGUCCAGUCUCCAAGUUUUAAACCUUCCUUGUCCCCUCCUGAUUUAGGUGUGGCAGGUUGUUUAGCAUCUUCUCUCUUGCCUGGAGGGAAGAUGCUAAAAAUACAGGGAUCAUUGUAAAUCCUGUUCUGUGACAACCCUGGCUAUUCCUUCCACUCCGCCAAAGCUCAAAUGUGAGAUGUAGAGUAGAAUGCAAAAUCUUAAAAUGAGGGACACAAGAAAAACGGUUGGCUCUAGGCACCUUUAAAAUGGUAUGUGGUUCACUUCUGGAUAUCUACAUUUCUUAUAUCCUUUACUUUCCUGCUACAUAUUUGUUCACCAUAUAGAAAGUGCACAAACUUGGGUAAAAUGGCGAAAAAUAUGGGUCUAAAAUAAAGUCUGUGUGAGCGAUAUGCUCCUAGGCGGCCAGGGAGAAGCAUGUCAAGACGCAGCUUGUCUGCAGUAGAGUUGUUUCAUACAGUUUCCUACCAGUAGUGCCUACCAGUGGGAAUACUGGUGUAAACUAGCCAGUAACUGUGUUUUCUAAUCUUGGUCAGCGCUGGUCUACAGGACAGGAUGGCUACGAAGUCAGUGGCCAUCUGCAGCGUUGUCUCCACCAAGUGUUCAAAAAUAAUGAAUCAGGCCUCUGAAAAUCAGGAGCUUUUUAAAAAAAAAUUAGUUUGUGGAUCUUUUUAUUUGCCUUCCGAUGUGAGGGCCUUUGAGUCCCAUUUUCAACCUUUACUCUAUAGCCACAAGGGCUAGAAACUUUUAUGGUGUUUUUUUUAAAAGAAAACAGAAAUUCUCAUGUAAUUGACUUCAGGAGCUGGGCUUUAAUACCAAAUGACAAGAGUUGGCAACUCUGUUUGCUCCAGAGCUUCCACCUUUGCCAGGUCCUUUGAAUCUGCGCUGGUGAGAGCGGCAGCUGGAAUUCUUAGGGUACUGACCUGGGUACAUAGUUUGCAAAUACUUUUUCCUUUUGGAAGUCACCUUUAUAACCAUUUCUCUUAACAAGUCAACAGUCCUGGACUUUCACAGGCCUGUCCGGACCGAGGACAUGGAUUUUGAGCAAUCUACAGAAUACUGCUUUUUGUUCCAACACUUAAAUGCAUGGCAUUUCAGCUGCAAAAUCACUAGUUCUUAAGCCUUUGACUACUAGAGAGUGAGGGAUUUCAGAGAAGACCAUUUGUGGUAAACCUAUGAGCUGUCUC